rnacentral:rRNA from 1 species
CGUAGGGGGCAAGCGUUGUCCGGAAUCAUUGGGCGUAAAGAGCGUGUAGGCGGUUCAAUAAGUCUGUUGUGAAAGUCCAAGGCUCAACCUUGGGAUGCCGAUGGAUACUGUUGAACUCGAGUCCGGAAGAGGAGUGUGGAAUUCCUGGUGUAGCGGUGAAAUGCGCAGAUAUCAGGAGGAACACCGAUGGCGAAGGCAGCACUCUGGGACGUGACUGACGCUGAGACGCGAAAGCGUGGGGAGCAAACAGGAUUAGAUACCCUGGUAGUCCACGCCGUAAACGAUGGGCACUAGGUGUGGGAGGUGUCGACUCCUCCCGUGCCGAAGCUAACGCAUUAAGUGCCCCGCCUGGGGAGUACGGCCGCAAGGCUA